UAAAGGUAAAAUAAAAAAUGAAUUAUGUUAGUACUAGUUUAUAUUUAUUGGUGUGGACCAUAGCAAAAUUCCCUUUUGCAAUGGAAAACUAAAAACAUAUAGGACAAGUUCAGGUAGUCCCUUGCAGUUUCAGUCCGUUUUCAUUCUGUUUAGUGUUUAGUGAAUACAACCCUGUUGCCUCCAACCAAGUCCCAGGCUUUUGUGGACACACUGCUCCACGACGGCUCAUUUGCACUUCUAUACUUUCAGUUUUGUUUUUGUGUAGAGAGCAGUCUCCCGCAUUGGUCGUUGACUGACCCAGAUUGCACUUUAUGAAUUUAGACAGACUGCCACUGCUCGCAUGAAAGAUAAAAAGGAAUGAUGUGACGGACUGGUUGUGGUCUCCCAUCUCGUCUGUGUGUAGUGUCUUUAGUUUUGUCUGUUACACUGGUCGCAGCAAGACUUUAUUGCCAAACAGAGUUGGUGGUAAUUACUUUUUGUACAGCAUGAUAGGCAAAAACUCACACAAAGUUUGAAUUUAUUAGUAGACAAGUAGAAUAUUUUAAGGCACAUUAUGAAUUGCAAGAGACAAAACAAUAUAGAACAGCAACAUGAAAAAAACAGACAUUAUACAGCUGUGCCAGGAAAAUAACCUUUCCCUCAACGUAAACAAAAGAGCUAAUCGUGGACUUCAGGAGACAGCAGAGGGAGCACGCUCCCAUCCACAGACGGGACUGCAGUGGAGAAGAUGCACCAUUGAGAGCAUCCUGUCGGGCUUUAUCAGUGCCUGGUACGGCAACUGCACCGCCCGCAACUGCCCAGCGCAUCACCGGGGGCACACAGCCUGCCCUCCAGGACACCGACAGCACUCGAUGUCACAUGAAGGCCAAAAAGAUCAUCAAAGACAUCAACCACCCGAGCCACGGCCUGUUCACCCCGCUAUCAUCCAGAAGGCAAUGUCAGUACAGGUGCAUCAAAGCUGGGACCGAGAGACUGAAAUUCAGCUUCAAUCUCAAGGCCAUCAGACUGUUAAAUAGCCAUCACUAGCCGGCCUCCACCCAGUACCCUGCCCUGAACUUAGUCACUGUUAGUAGCCGGCCUCCACCGAGUACCCUGCCCUGAACUUAGUCACUGUUAGUAGCCGGACUCCACCCAGUACCCUGCCCUGAACAUAGUCACUGUCGGUAGACGUCUACCACACCACUCAACCCUGCACCUUAGAGGCUGCUACCGUAUGUACAUAGACAUGGAACACUAGUCACUUUAAUACUGUUUUACUCAUUUCAUAUGUAUAUACUGUAUUUUAGUCAAUGCCACUCCGACAUUGCUCCUCCUAAUAUUUCUUAAUUCCAUUAUUUUAAUUAGAUAUUUGUGUGUAUUGUUGUGAAUGGUUAGAUACUACUGCACUGUUGGAGCUAGGAACACAAAAAUGUCACUACACCUGCAACAACAUCUGCUAAAUAUGUGUAUGCAAACAAUACAAUUUGAUUUGAAUAUAUCAUAGAAUCAUGUAGAAGUUAAAUGCAUCUCUACCAGUAUAGUCUGAUACCAGAAUGUAGGAAAUAGUUGGAAUGGCUUUGUCCUAUAGCAGGUGGAACUGAGAAGCUGUGAACUGUCAGUGCUCUCUGAGUGGAGGGAGGUCGUGAAGGUGGUGCGAUGGAUCUCUCAUGUCUUUGAGGAGUAAAAUUGUGGCUUCAUAUCUACAUUCCGUUAAAGUCACCAUCCAUUGCCAAAAACGUGACGGUAGAGCUGGGGAGCAGGGUGGCAAAAUAUCGCCAUCUGCAUUGUACUCACUUAGAUAUUACUGCAUGGUCGGAACUAGAAGCACAAGCAUUUUGCUACACUCGCAUUAACAUCUGCUAACCAUGUGUAUGUGACCAAUAAAAUUUGAUUUGAUUUUCC
rnacentral:lncRNA from 1 species